AUUGAACGCUGGCGGCAGGCUUAACACAUGCAAGUCGAGCGGGGGGAGGUAGCUUGCUACCUAACCUAGCGGCGGACGGGUGAGUAAUGCUUAGGAAUCUGCCUAUUAGUGGGGGACAACAUUUCGAAAGGGAUGCUAAUACCGCAUACGCCCUAAGGGGGAAAGCAGGGGAUCUUCGGACCUUGCGCUAAUAGAUGAGCCUAAGUCGGAUUAGCUAGUUGGUGGGGUAAAGGCCUACCAAGGCGACGAUCUGUAGCGGGUCUGAGAGGAUGAUCCGCCACGCUGGGACUGAGACACGGCCCAGACUCCUACGGGAGGCAGCAGUGGGGAAUAUUGGACAAUGGGGGGAACCCUGAUCCAGCCAUGCCGCGUGUGUGAAGAAGGCCUUUUGGUUGUAAAGCACUUUAAGCGAGGAGGAGGCUACCGAGAUUAAUACUCUUGGAUAGUGGACGUUACUCGCAGAAUAAGCACCGGCUAACUCUGUGCCAGCCGCCGCAGUAAGAC
rnacentral:rRNA from 1 species